rnacentral:rRNA from 1 species
AGGUCUUGACAUCCUUUGAAGCUUUUAGAGAUAGAAGUGUUCUCUUCGGAGACAAAGUGACAGGUGGUGCAUGGUCGUCGUCAGCUCGUGUCGUGAGAUGUUGGGUUAAGUCCCGCAACGAGCGCAACCCUUAUUGUUAGUUGCCAGCAUUCAGUUGGGCACUCUAGCGAGACUGCCGGUGACAAACCGGAGGAAGGCGGGGACGACGUCAGAUCAUCAUGCCCCUUAUGACCUGGGCUACACACGUGCUACAAUGGCGUAUACAACGAGUUGCCAACCUGCGAAGGUGAGCUAAUCUCUUAAAGUACGUCUCAGUUCGGACUGCAGUCUGCAACUCGACUGCACGAAGUCGGAAUCGCUAGUAAUCGCGGAUCAGCACGCCGCGGUGAAUACGUUCCCGGGUCUU